UACGAAGGGGGCUAGCGUUGUUCGGAAUUACUGGGCGUAAAGCGUGCGCAGGCGGCUUCUCAAGUCAGGGGUGAAAGCCCAGAGCUCAACUCUGGAAUUGCCUUUGAGACUGCAUCGCUGGAGUGCGGCAGGAGGGGGAUGGAAUUCCGCGUGUAGCAGUGAAAUGCGUAGAUAUGCGGAGGAACACCGAUGGCGAAGGCAAUCCCCGUGGGCCUGCACUGACGCUCAUGCACGAAAGCGUGGGGAGCAAACAGG
rnacentral:rRNA from 1 species